UACGUAGGGGGCGAGCGUUUGUCCGGAUUUAUUGGGCGUAAAGAGCUCGUAGGCGGUUUGGUAAGUCGGGUGUGAAAUCUCCACGCUCAACGUGGAGGGGCCACUCGAUACUGCCAUGACUCGAGUCCGGUAGAGGAGUGUGGAAUUCCCGGUGUAGCGGUGAAAUGCGCAGAUAGGCGGAGGAACACCCGUAGCGAAGGCGGCACUCUGGGCCGGAACUGACGCUGAGGAGCGAAGGCCAGGGGAGCAAACGGG
rnacentral:rRNA from 1 species